rnacentral:misc_RNA from 1 species
GUUUCUCUGGAAGAAAGACUAGAAGAAAGAAGAAGACAGAGUGCAGAAACGACAGAUGGAAGCACUGUAUAGUUUUUGCGUUGUAGCUGUUGCAGAAAAAAGAUUGAUGAGGCUAAAGUAUCUUCACAUGCAAAUGUCCGGCUGGUGCUGCUACAUCUUUGAUCAUUCCCCUCCAUCAGAGAGAGCAGGUUAUUGAGCUUAGAUCUGUCGAAAGAAUGAGAGAUAUCCAUAUUACUGAAUUUGAGGGAAUGCUUUCCUACAAUCACUGAUGCAGUCAGCCAGCGAACAAGCUUUGAUAUCAGAGAAUCGUCUGAUUCUUCAUUGGCUUGCAGUCUCAUAAUGCAAUCAAUACUUUCCGGCGCAUGGACUUUUUCAAUAUUUGACUGCAAAGCAGUUAAAGUUGCCCACCUAACAAACUUGGAAAC